rnacentral:rRNA from 1 species
UACAGAGGUGGCAAGCGUUGUUCGGAAUUACUGGGCGUAAAGGGCGCGUAGGCGGUUCGUUAAGUCCUGUGUGAAAUCCCCCGGCUCAACUGGGGAACUGCACAGGAAACUAGCGGGCUUGAGUUCGGGAGAGGGAAGCGGAAUUCCGCGUGUAGCAGUGAAAUGCGUAGAGAUGCGGAGGAACACCGAUGGCGAAGGCAGCCCCCUGGGCUGACACUGACGCUCAGGCACGAAAGCGUGGGGAGCAAACAGG